GGCUCUGGUUUUGAUCUGACAGUGGGCUCACCCCGGGGAUACCUCUACCCAGCCCUCUCCAUGCAUGUACAACAGGGGAAGAAGUCCUGGCCCAGUAUCUACAACAGCAACAGCCUAGGGCCACGAGCUCUUCCCACCUGCUGCUGACGCCCUGCCGGGUGGCUCCUCCCUACCCUCACCUCUUCCCCAAUUUGAGCCAGCAGGGUGUGUUUCUUGAAGAUCCCCCUGUGGGAGCAGCAGGGGACAGUGUCCCCGUGUUUGGGGCCUUGUGCUCCUCUGCAUCCUUGCACCGCACCCUGGGAGGCUUAGCCAGAGAGCUCACCAGACUCGACCUGCGGCACUGGGCCAGCUUCCUGGCUGCUGGAGUGGAGCAGGAUGACGUGGAGGAACUGCUGCAGGAGCUGCACAGCCUGGCCCGGUGCUACCAGGACAGCGACAGCCUCGUGGACUAACGCUCCAAGGGUGGGGGAAGAGCUAGUUUGCGAUAAAACUGCUGGAUGCAGGAGCCCAGUGUCUU